AGGGCUGGGAGGGGUUCCCCACCCUGGCGUCACGGCCUCCGAAGCGGAGGACGGAAGUGCGGCCCCAUCCUGCCCCUCGGUCCUCGGAGAGCCCGAUUCCUGAAGCCUCCUUUAGCCACAUGGGCCUCCGCCCGGCCAGCCACAAAGCUCGGGGCAGCGGCCUGCUCGUCCCCUGCGCAGGCGGCCGCCACUCCUGCGAUCGCCUUGCUUCAUGCGUUUCUGCACUGUUCAAGAGCUCCAGGCGGGAGCUCUGUGCUGCUCUGUCCACCGCGCCGCAGGAAGGGCUGAACUCUUCUUCAGGAUGAAUGUCAAGAAAAGGAGUGUCGGGUUGCCAGGAUUGAAAAAGCCCCGCAGGGCCUAUGACCUACAAGCACCUAUGAUUUCUUUUUUUCAUGAUGAAGUGUGCUGCGUGAUCCCAAACCUUGCACAUGGCAUUUUAAACCCUGGCACGUUUCAAGAAGAAUCAGACUUUGGGAGGGGACGGUUGGUCUAUUUUCUCUUCAGUGGAACUACACUUUGAUCUGGCCCCAUUCAGAUGUGGGCUGACCAUCUCUUUUAGUGGUCUCAUGAACAAGCAGCCUGCCAUACCUAAGAAGUAAAGUUUUUCCACCCACUCA